GUGAAUCAUCGAAUCUUUGAACGCAAAUUGCACUCUCUGGUAUUCCGGAGAGUAUGCCUGUUUGAGGUUCAGUUUAAAUAAAAAUCGUUGUGUUCGCUGCCUCCCUUGGUGACGCACCGGAUUUGGUUCUCCUUGCCUUCGGUUAAGGGACCUAAAAUUUGCCAGGAUUUUUUUCGAACGUAUUUAAUUAAUUUUACUUACGUUUAGGUUAUCAAAAA
rnacentral:misc_RNA from 1 species